rnacentral:lncRNA from 1 species
UUUCGUCAAUAUAAAUGUCCGUGCUUGGGUUGCUUUGAGCUUCACCUGCUGCACAGUCUUUUUCAUCAGAAGUGUUUCCUUUGGAGGUCAUUGAUAUAUCAUCUUUGAUUUCUGUUCCAAAAUUCUUUUCCAAAUCCUUUUUAAUUUCUUCAAAAUAUGAUGCAAUAAUUUCUCUUUUCGAGACUGCACCUUUCUUCAUUUGAAGUCUUUUACUGACCAUUUCAAAUGGACUUAAUUUGUCUAGUACAACAUUGGUUUUGUCCAAUUUGGCAUAGGCUUCUAUUAGUUUGAAUUUGUUGAAUCAAUUGUUCACCAAAUAAUUUACCUUGGUGAUUUGGUUGGAG